rnacentral:lncRNA from 1 species
GGAAAAGAAGACCCAGACUUUGUUGAAAUAAUCUGCCUUUAAGCGCUGUGCUAGCAGGAAGGUCUGUGAAGUUUGCAAUAAAGCCAUUAUGAAGUCAAGAAUGGAGGUUCCAUUUUUAAAGAACUCAGAGGGGGUAGAUCUUGAUUGACAUCUCAUCUGGGGUCACCUGGUCUUCAACUGAGAGAUCUUUUGGUUCGCCACGGAUGCCCCUUGCAGUUAUGGAAGCUUCCCUGACCAGAGGUCGUUUUGAGUUUCCUUCUCUGGAAUUUGACCACUGAGCAGAGACACAUAGGAGAGAAGACGUGAAUGCUGAGUCAUCAAUCAGCAUCACUGGGAAGAAAAAGCCUCUCAGUUUCUUCUGCUGGGACUCCCAGAGCUGGAGUAUUUUCUGCUCUUCCUAAGGCCUGAAUCUCACCUUGUCACCCAGGCUGGAGUGCAAUGGCAUAAUCUCAGCUCACUGCAACCUCUGUCUCCCAGGCUCAAAUGAUUCUCCUGCCUCAGCCUCCUGAGUAGCUGGGAUUACAGGCGCCCAUGGACUACCAGCUUUUUAAGUAGACUUUUUAGCCAAAGGCCAAGGGAAACUACCCUCUUCCUACUGGGGUUCAAAUUGAUUAAAAU